GACGAACGCUGGCGGCGUGCUUAACACAUGCAAGUCGAACGGAAAGGCCCUGCUCUUGUGGGGUGCUCGAGUGGCGAACGGGUGAGUAACACGUGAGUAACCUGCCCUUGACUUUGGGAUAACUUCAGGAAACUGGGGCUAAUACCGGAUAGGAGCUCCUGCUGCAUGGUGGGGGUUGGAAAGUUUCGGCCGUUGGGGAUGGACUCGCGGCUUAUCAGCUUGAUUGUGGGGUAGUGGCUUACCAAGGCUUUGACGGGUAGCCGGCCUGGGAGGGUGACCGGCCUCAUUGGGCCUGAGAUACGGCCCAGUCUCCUACGUGCGGCAGCAGUGGGGAAUAUUGCACAACGGGCCGAAGCCUGAUGCAGCAACGCCGCGUGCGUGAUGACGGCCUUCGGGUUGUAAACCGCUUUCGCCUGUGCCGUAGCGUGAGUGACGGUAAUGGGUAAAGAAGCCCCGGCUAACUACGUG
rnacentral:rRNA from 1 species